ensembl:snRNA U6 U6 spliceosomal RNA
GUGGUCACUUUGGCAGCACGUAUACCAAAAUUGGAAUGAUACGGAGAAGAUUAGCAGGGCCCCCACGCAAGGAUGACAAUUUUUUUUCUUCUUCUUCUUUUUUUUUU